rnacentral:rRNA from 1 species
GAUGAACGCUAGCGGCAGGCUUAAUACAUGCAAGUCGAGGGGCAGCAUGAAUGUAGCAAUACAUUUGAUGGCGACCGGCAAACGGGUGCGGAACACGUACACAACCUUCCUAUAAGUGGGGAAUAGCCCAGAGAAAUUUGGAUUAAUACCCCGUAACAUAAUGAUGUGGCAUCAUAUUAUUAUUAUAGCUACGGCGCUUAUUGAUGGGUGUGCGGCUGAUUAGAUAGUUGGCGGGGUAACGGCCCACCAAGUCUACGAUCAGUAGCUGAUGUGAGAGCAUGAUCAGCCACACGGGCACUGAGACACGGGCCCGACUCCUACGGGAGGCAGCAGUAAGGAAUAUUGGUCAAUGGACGCAAGUCUGAACCAGCCAUGCCGCGUGAAGGAUUAAGGUCCUCUGGAUUGUAAACUUCUUUUAUCUGGGACGAAAAAAGGCGAUUCUUCGUCACUUGACGGCACCAGAUGAAUAAGCACCGGCUAACUCCGUGCCAGCCGCCGCGGUAAAAC